UACCUUUUUUUUUUUUUUUUAAUUGGGGAAAUGGAGGCUAGGAGACAGACAUAGUUCAACAGAAUGCUGUCUGGUAUGAGAAGUUGCAGAUGACAUAUGCUUUUUUUGGUUAAUGACUCACCAAAUGCUGAGUUCAUAAAUCCAAGAACAAUUCAUCAUUGUAAACAGAGCAUGUCCAUGUCAUUUAGGCUCCAUAAUUUAGUUUAAUGCAGAAGAUUCAGCCAGCACAAAUGCAAUAAAUAAUGGAGCUAAGAGAAGAGGUUAUCAUACGGUUUUGCAGAUUAAGUCUUCAAUAGUUAGAGCUAAAUGAGAUUAUAAUUUGGGCUUAAUGAGUUAAGCUAUGGGAGAAUUUAUAGGUCGCAACAAAAAAUUCUAAUUUCCUGCAUGAACCGGGAUGUGGAGCUCUGAACAGUCUUAUGUGUGUUUUAUUUGAAUCAAGGCCUGGUUCUCAAAGUUAAAAUAUGUUAAAAUUUUGAAACCUAACGGAAAAAAGAACCUAAACGUGGUAAUAAAAUUUUUUUUUUUUUGACUUCUGGCAAUAGAAUCCUAAGUGAUUGAUUUAUUUUUGAAAGCAUUAAUGCCAGCCGUAAGACUUUUAUUUCUUGUCUACUUAUUUUUCCUUUUCAUCUUUUCCAAUUCCAAGUUCUGCUGCUGACUUUAGCUCAUUGAUCCUGGCUGCUCAGUGACCUCCAAGACCAUCUUCUUGCACUAAAGAGCCUUUAAAUUCAUUACAUCAUCACAUCAAUAUAAACUGUAGCUGCCACAUAUUUUUCCACUCCUUCAAUAUCACAACAACCUGUAUCUCAAUAUUUAGCUGCUGCCCAAAAGAGCCGCAGCAUAAUCUCUUUCAAUUUGUCAACUUUUUGCCAUCAAACUACUUUAUUCUCCAACCAUAUUCAAAUGCUGAAUAAUUUACACAUUCUUGCUCAAUUUAGAAACAGAAACCCCCAAUUUAGUUAACCCUAGCCCUUCGAGAAACCCACCAUGGUAAAUUUUUCUUAUCUUUUCAACAUAAACAAACCAUUGGACUAAGUCAUCAAGAAGAAAAAAAACCCUCUAAGUUUGACAAUGCUGAAAUAAGCAAACUUAUAUGCUGAAAUAAGCCCUCUUCUCUCACAUUAUGCUUUCAAUUCACUUAUGCUAACCAUACACAUCUCAGGCUGAGGAAUUUCUACUUCAUUACUUCUUACUAUAAUAACACAUCCAUGUAAAGUGAUCAAACUCAAAGGGUUUGUAGACCAUCUCCAGUCAAACCAACUCUAUAGUCUAUAGACCAUUAUAUCUCCUUCACCAACAUCCAAAUAUCUACACCUAACAAAAAUCAGAUAUAUGGCUCUAAGAGCAAAAGCACAAACAGAGACCACAAAUGUGCAUACCAAAAAAACACCAAGUAGAACACCUAACUUCGUAUCCUCAAAUACACAACCGGAUUAGGGUUACAAAGUUUACAUUUCUAUGAUCAAUAUUUC
rnacentral:misc_RNA from 1 species